UUGAAAUCAGGAAUGGCUCAGAAGUGCCAUCAGGGUGUAUCGGCCCCCUUUAUAGGCGCCUUGUGGCGCCUUCAGAACAAUUCAAGGGACAGUACGUGCCUUUUGUUUGGUGGAAGUUUUGUGAGGAUCACAGCGAUAGCCUGCAGUGCUUCUACAGAGCUUCCGUGUAUUAUAGGAAGAAAGUUUCGUUCCAAAAUAUCCUCACAUACCUUAGUCUGGUUGUAUAUUCUUUCACUGUACUAUACGCUAUGACAGUACGUCUCUUUGCACGACAGAAAGAAAACGUUGGAGAUAGCAUGUGAUGAAGCGUCUGUCCACUCAGAAAGGAGCAAUAAGGGGCCAUUCGCAUGCAGGCCACAACGCUAUCGUGAGAAAAAUGAAGCAAUGUAGUCCUCACAUGCAGUUUUUGUGGUACCUUAUUUGAGAGCGAUCCAAUGAGACCAUUCUACGUGCACAAGGGAAAAGCUGAGGGACUGCGCGAAAUACUGACCUACUUUCAUGGCGUAUUAGCAGCAGCCUAUACUUCAACAAGCACAAAAUCAACAGGAACUUGCAAGUUGCACACAACCUUUGUUGCGUAUUUAUUUGUUAGCCGCUUAUUUCUCUGCUUGCUCAUGUGAGACUUCAGUGACGUCGAAACAGCACACUGUGAAGCUGAUCUGUGAUGGUCUUCCUGUGGCCAGCCUCUGCCUCUUUGAGAAUGAACAUCUUGUUGUCCACACCAGCAAUAUAUUGCACUAUUCUGCAGCUUUCAGAGCACAACUUUGUCCCUAUUUGUGCAUGGACAUCAUGUUCAUUAUCCCUGAAGUUCCUUAACAAGCCACGUUUCUGUUGGUCCUUUGAGAAUCGGCAGCACGACUUACCGUCCUCAUUUCCUAUUGCAAAACCUGCACUUGCUGUUAGCCAUUACAGUCACUUCAUUAUGCAUUUCUUGAUUAUAUAGGAUUGGCAUAGCAUACACUCCACUGUUUUAACUUGAUUGUUGUUUCUGGCAGCCUCCACAAGAUACAAAAUUGUAAGAUUCCCCAAUGAGGACAACCAGUCGUGCCAUCCAUGGGUGGUCGGCACAGAAUGUUUUUGGCCGCCAGAGAAGGAGGAGAAAAAGGUGGGAUUCUAUGUAAGGAAAAACAAGCCCCCUGGAAUGCACUGGCUAUUUCUUGGGUGUCAGGAAAUGGAAGCAUAUGAAAGCUGUGAGGAGGCACGAAAAAUGCUCCCCAUUGCCACAAACACCUCUGACCUCAACGGUGAGCUGGAGUACUGAAGGGGGAAAAGACGCAGAGUCAGAAGGUUGCCGUCCGACGAUGAUAGCCCUCCGCCUGUCACACCUCCCCGCCGCAGCCAACCAACAUGCAAUGAAGGCUAUGCAGCCAGCGAAAGGCACACCCAAAGGAGGAAGCACCUUCCUGAACUUUCAGAUGAGCAGUACUCACUACCUGCAACCCCUCCUCGUCCUCUUCGUAAAC